CUUCAUCGAGCCGAGCAGCAGCGGCCUGGAGCGGUUCUGGCCGUAGGUGGCGAGGAGCGCCUGGGCCUC
rnacentral:antisense_RNA from 1 species